UUUCCGCUCUCACAAUCCGACUGUCCCUUAUCAGAAGCUAAUUAGAUGGUAAGCAUGAAUGCUUCAUCGAACUUACCCGAGACCAAAUCGAUAUGUCGAUGGGCUCCAACAAUUUUCGCCAUUGUAGCUGUUUGCUUAGAUCGUCGUGUGCUCGCCUUGCUGAUUGGCUAGGAGGCGUAGAGCGAUAUUUGGGAAAGGGAGGAUGGUGCGGAUGGAUUGGUUGUCCGCUAAAUCAAUGGCGUAAAUAAAUCUCCAUAUGCUAUUUGUUUGGAAAGAAAUCGUGGGCGCGUGGUAUUUACGAUUUGUUAUGGCAAAAUCUGUUCUUAAGGUUACCUGGAAAAUAUUAUGUCGGUUUUUAAGGAAGAUGAUCUCUCAUCUUAAUUAUUACCAGGCAAAUAGAGUGUUGUUCUCUGUUAAGUAGAGUAUAGGGGCUGAAGAAACCAACCUUUUAUGCAUAUACCUUCUUUAAAUUUGCAAAGCAAUAUGCCUAACUGAGACCGAUUAUGUAAUUUUCUGGUGUGUUCAGCAAUGGAAUGGUCUUAUAAUUAGGUUUCUUAUAAAUGAGUGAUCUCGAAAAGUUCACAUCACCUGGAACAUUUUUUAAUGCACUGAAGUGAUAUGCUACAUUUUUAGUUGCAAGCGUGAAGCGUAGCUGGUGCCGGAACAGACUUUGCAACUGUUGUGGAUUGACGCAUAGAUUUUAGUAGCUUCAUGCAACUGUUGUGAACUGACGCAUAAGUUUGAUACAUAUCAUCAUGGUAAAUCUCAAUGAAGUUGCACCUGAGUUUUUUUUUUUAUGUUGUACAUUGCUGGCCAGUGGCUUUAGUUUCCUCUUUGUCCCCACAAGUUCAUUACAUGUUAUGUUGCUACCUUCAUGUAUCAUCUACUACAUCUCAUCCAUGGUCUAGCCCUGGAAAACUUGCUGAUUCAUCUCUUUACGUGCAUUUCAGAAGGUGUACAUGAAUUUCUUACCAAAAACUCAUCUUUAACAGUACAUAUUUGUCUGCAAGGACUCUAGCUCGGUGCUUUUAAUUCAAUACCACUGUGACACAACUUCAUAUAUUACCUCAAGAGCUUCAUAGAGGUGCAAGCCAUAAUGAUGACAAGGUCCUUCUUCUUGCUGCUACAAAUACUCUAUAUGCUCUCGAUCAGAUAUAGAACAUCUAUCAAUUAUUCACCUGCAUGAUCUUAACGCCAGGCAACGCAUGUUCAAGGCACAUGAUCCCAUGAUUGAGCGCAUCAUCGCUCAAGGUCUCAGGGGAAGGUUGUUCUGACUGCUGACAACAACAGAACUUAUGGAGCUCAACUCGAUAUUUCUAUGGGGAAGGCCGGGACGCACAAAAAUUGGGAGGAUAUGUUGUUAGGAUGGUGUAUUAUAUGCUGGUGAAAUUAAUUAUCGCUGGAAGUAAUGGUCAUCGAUUGAUGGCGAAAGAAACUGUCCUCAAUGGUGGCGAUAACUGAAGGUAAGGACGAUGUCGGGAAAAACAAGACUGCCAGAUGUUCUGGUUCGUUCAGACAGACACCCAAAUAUCUGAAGGGUACCUGUUUAGCAGCUAAUGAACCUCCGGGAAGCUGGCUGGGUGCCUUGGCCAUGGUCGCAGAGAAAGGUGGGAGAAAGCGGAGCUCACCGCGGUUGAUUGAUCCCUCCGUGUUGAUGAGAAACUGUCUUGCAAGCCGGAGCUGCGGAGGUCACCGGGGCUGCGGACGCGCACCGCCGAACGGUUCUGCAGCGCCACCCCUCAACAGAGGUGCAGGCGGGAAGGCAACUGGAGGCACCGUCUGAUGUUGCCUAGGCCUGGUGUUGCCCAGUAGAGCUACAGGCGAGGCUUAGGUCGUCGGAAUACCAGCCUCAUAGCAGGAGUGGUGCAUGUCGGGUAGAGCUGCAGGCCGAGGUAGAGGCGGAGACGGCGUCACAAGCACAAACAACAGCGGGGUAAGAAUCUUGUUGAAACUCUCUCCAAUCAACCUGGAAGAAAGCUGAAAGUUAUUCUCAUGUCUGCAACUGUUGAUUGAAGCCUGUUUGCACAAUACUUUGGAGAUUGCCCUGUGAUUACUGUUGAAGGCAGAACACACCAUUUGAACUCACUUCCUUGAAGAUGUUUAUGAGAAAAUGGAGUACUUUCUUCCUUUGGAUUCUCCUGCAUCAGGAGCAUAAUUCGCACAGCAUGGAGAAAAGCGGAAGCAUGCAGUAGCUCAGUGAAUAAUCGGAGAGGAAUGAAGAACCUUGUCUUAUCCUCAUGGGGGGAUGAGUCCAUGCUUUCUGAAAACUAUGUUAAUCCUCAUUACACCUUCGACUGCUAUUAGUCAUAUAGUGAAAGGACCAAGCAAAAUCUAGUGAGUUUGUGCUCUGGACAAUUGCAUUGCACCUUUUUGUAAAUAUUGUUCAGUUCUAACUGAAAAUAUUCUAUUGCAAACUCAGGAAUGCUUAAACGAAGAUGUCAUUGAUUUUGAUGUGCUGGAAGAUUUGAUAUGCUAUAUUAUGAGUACUGCCCCACAGGCGCUGUUCUACUUUCUCUUCCUGUAAGUGUAAGCCAUAGUGUCAGUUUAAUGCUUUGCUUUCAAAUACUAGGUACAUUUCUUAUUUCCUACCAUAUGGGACACCCGUUUUUCAUUGAUGGUGUCGUUAACGUUGAUAACUGGUUCCGUUUUCCUUGUAUGGGAUUGGGAGCAAACAUGCUCCUCUGGGCUCGUGUUUCUGCGCCGGUUAAAUUUGUGACGUUUUGUUGAGCUUUGCGGGCAGGAAAACUGUGCCACUGCCGAAUGUGAUGCCAACGAGUUACCACAGCAUCGAUCCAACUAUUUUCGUAGACGUGGCGUUGCAUGCGCAUGUAGAGGAUAUGCUUCCGGCCUUUAGCUGCGCAGCUCGCUUCUCACUUGUAUUUCUCGCGGUCAGACACUCAUGCGAGCAUACCACCAUGGCGUUAACGUGCAGCACCGCCGAACGCGGUGUGUGCCUAUUGCAUACCCCCUCUUUCUGGGAAGUGCUCGACUCAUGCAGCUCCGGCGUACGCCCUUGUCGUCGUCGCCUCACCUCUCGUCUCGACGUCCCUACCUCACGCAUUACGAAGAUGGGGCAAUGGCGGUCAUCGGCCGAUGGCCUGGUUGAGGCCGUCAAAGGCGCGUCCGGCAGCCAGAGGAGGCAAUGCGAGGGAGUUAGGGAGAAAAGAGGGAAGACAGAAAAGAUUAAUCGAAUGUUGAGUUUUAGGAUUCCUACACAGGUGUGAGAUCACCCCAUAGCCUCAAAAACCAACGAGGGAAUUUCACUUUUUACCCUCUAGUUAUGCAUAUGUGACAUUAAUUAUCGCACCGAGUAAAAAAUCGUGUAGAUU